rnacentral:rRNA from 1 species
UAGAUACCCUGGUAGUCCACGCCGUAAACGGUGGGUACUAGGUGUGGGUUCCUUUUCACGGGAUCCGUGCCGUAGCUAACGCAUUAAGUACCCCGCCUGGGGAGUACGGCCGCAAGGCUAAAACUCAAAGGAAUUGACGGGGGCCCGCACAAGCGGCGGAGCAUGUGGAUUAAUUCGAUGCAACGCGAAGAACCUUACCUGGGUUUGACAUACACCAGACGCGGCUAGAGAUAGUCGUUCCCUUGUGGUU